AACGAACGCUGGCGGCAUGCCUAACACAUGCAAGUCGAACGGAUGUAGCAAUACAUCAGUGGCGGACGGGUGAGUAACGCGUGGGAACCUACCUGGAAGUGAGGAAUAACCGAGGGAAACUUCGGCUAAUACCGCAUAUGCCCUGCGGGCAAAGGACUUCGGCCGCUACCAGAGGGGCCCGCGUCCGAUUAGCUAGUUGGUGGGGUAACGGCCUACCAAGGCAGUGAUCGGUAGCUGGUCUGAGAGGACGAUCAGCCACACUGGGACUGAGACACGGCCCAGACUCCUACGGGAGGCAGCAGUGGGGAAUAUUGGACAAUGGGGGAAACCCGUAGAUCCAGCGAUGCCGCGUGAGUGAUGAAGGCCUUAGGGUUGUAAAGCUCUUUCGCCCACGACGAUGAUGACGGUAGUGGGAGAAGAAGCCCCGGCUAACUUCGUGCCAGCAGCCGCCG
rnacentral:rRNA from 1 species